rnacentral:rRNA from 1 species
UACGUAGGGUGCGAGCGUUAAUCGGAAUUACUGGGCGUAAAGCGUGCGCAGGCGGUUUUUUAAGCCAGACGUGAAAUCCCCGGGCUCAACCUGGGAACUGCAUUUGUGACUGUAUGGCUAGAGUACGGCAGAGGGGGAUGGAAUUCCGCGUGUAGCAGUGAAAUGCGUAGAUAUGCGGGGGAACACCGAUGGCGAAGGCAAUCCCCUGGGCCUGUACUGACGCUCAUGCACGAAAGCGUGGGGAGCAAACAGGAUUAGAUACCCUGGUAGUCCACGCCCUAAACGAUGUCAACUGGUUGUUGGGUCUUCACUGACUCAGUAACGAAGCUAACGCGUGAAGUUGACCGCCUGGGGAGUACGGCCGCAAGGUUGAG